GACGAACGCUGGCGGCGUGCUUAACACAUGCAAGUCGAACGGAGUGGCGAACGUGUGAGUAACACGUGGGUGAUCUGCCUUGCACUUCGGGAUAAGCUUGGGGAACUGGGUCUAAUACCGGAUAGUGCAAGAUGAGCUCGCGGCCUAUCAGCUUGUUGGUGGGGUAAUGGCCUACCAAGUCGUCGACGGGUAGCCGGCCUGGGAGGGUGUACGGGCACAGUGGGACUGAGAUACGGCCCAGACUCCGACGGGAGGGAGCAGUGGGGAAUAGUGCACAAUGGGCGGAAGGCUGAUGCAGCGACGGCGCGUGGGGGAUGAAGGCCUUCGGGUUGUAAACUCCUUUCGACAGGGACGCGGUACCUGUAUAAGAAGCACCGGCUAACUACGUGCCAGCAGCCGCGGUAAUAC
rnacentral:rRNA from 1 species